rnacentral:rRNA from 1 species
GAAGCUCAGGUAAUACUGAGUGGACGACUGAACCGACAAAUGUUGAGAAUCAGCGGAUGAAUUGUGUUU